UUCUGGAAAUCAGUCUGGAGGUUCCUCAGAAAAUUGGACAUUGAACUACCUGAGGAUCCAGCUAUACCUCUCUUGGGCAUAUACCUACAAGAUGCCCCAACAUAUAACAAAGACACAUGCUCCACUAUGUUCAUAGCAGCCUUAUUUAUAAUAGCCAGAAGCUGGAAAGAACCCAGAUGCCCUUCAACAGAUGAAUGGAUACAGAAAAUGUGGUAC
rnacentral:lncRNA from 1 species